ACUUGUGUUUGCAAGACAGAGGAUUUGAGAUCACUAACCGGAGUGGGAACCAGUGUGUCGAGUGUGCGGGCUUGCUAUAGGCGAGCCCACAACGGUUUGGUGCAACGUGGCCCAUCCUGUUCUGCUGAAUCGGCAACGGGACCUGUCCUGGAUGGUCGCCCACGAGAUCCUCCCGGUCAGGGCCGUUAUGCACUCCCGGGGCAUGGCGAGGACAUCCGCGUGCCCCCGACCACGUUACGGCCAAGAUGAGUUGGUGAGGCACUUGCUCUGGGAGUGCAGAGCCGCCAGGGACCUGUGGAAGGAAUCAGGCCCCCUGAUCUCCCCGUGUCUGCCAGCAGGGGAGGACCUAAUGCCCCAGCUCGUGCUGUAUGGGGUGGGCCGAAAGGCCUAUUCCACCGAAGGCCUUCACCCAAGCUCUGGCCCACACUCACAUGUCUGAAGGAUGCACUGCGGUCCUCCCGCAACCUGCUGGUAGACCACCCCCAGGCAGUGGCCAUGGUAGCCACGGAAGCCCUGUUGUGGUACAGAAGAAAUGGGGCCUCGACCCCAGAUGAAGGGUCCCCCACAACACCCAAGGUCCCGGCGGCCACGGCACCAAGGGCGAUGCCCCUAGGGGAGGCAUCUGCUCUGGGCCCCGAAGGACAGGACGGUAAUUGAUUCAGAAGAGCAGGAGGAGGCGAGUUUGAUAAGGACUCACCCUGUUCCUGUACAAAGGACGGAAGACAGCUUUUUAACAUGUUUUCCAUAUCUUAAAAAUAUUUUACCUUUGUUAAAUAAUUUGUGCACAUUUUAAA
ensembl:lncRNA